UGAUGAUGCGGCUAAAGACAUAUUAAGAGAGAAGAAUGUCAAUCUCACUUAGACUACUAUAGAAAUGUCAUUUUAUAGCUUUUUUGCUUCUUCUGCUAUUAAAGGUAUUAUAUACAGCGCUUAUAUAAUAACAGCUCUAAUAUCCACAAGUUACUAUAGCGAUUCGUAAUUAAACGCUAUCAAAACCUAUAGAAAAAAAUUAAAACCUAUAAGAAAAUUAUAGGCCGUCUACCUUCUCGUUUUUCCUCUUCUUUUCACCAAAAUCCUUUGCUGCUCCAGUCUCUCUCCUCUUUCUUUGGGGAACGAGUUGCUCCUCCUUCAUGGAAAUUCGUCUUUCGUAGAGAUGAGGAUAUUUUCAUAUACGUUUGGAUUGUGGAGAUUAUGUGAUGAGAUUCAUGAAGGAGAUUAUCUCACAUAAGCGAAUUCAAAUUCCUAAAGUUAUGUGGGGGAUUAUUGCGGAGAAGAACACAAGAAAUAAUAGGAAAGUUGUGUUCUCAUGUCUGCUUGUGUUUACUUUCAGGAUAAUUUGAUUUUAUUUGACAUGCAUACACAUUAUCACCAAAUCACCUGACAGACUAAAGUUUUCUUUUGUAUUUUUACAGAAAGAAUUUUUUCCCCUUCUUAUAAGUAAGAACAAUUCAAGUAUGUAUGAACAUCUUAUACCCCGUUGUUUUGCAUUACUUUUCAGAUUGUCUAUUUUCAAAUUAUGAUAAAGAGCAGAUUGACAAAGUAAAAAUGAGUGGGUGCGCCAUGUUGUUCAACAAUUGUAUAAUAGCUAGGUUACGUUGAAGGAACCAAAAAAUAUACAACUCUAUUAAUUAAUAUAUUUUGCGUACUUUAAUGUUUGUAAUCUUACUUUAGAAUGUAUUUAUGUAAUAGGUUUUAUUAGCGUUCAUGGUGACCAAUUGUAAAAUUCUUUUCUUUGACGUUUGGAAAUUAAUAUAUUUAUUUAUUUACUGCACUCUUCAAUAUAUGGUAUUUCGAAAUAUGAAUACUUAUUUUGUGACAUAAAAGGGAAUAUAUUGCAUCCAGCGAAAUUAUAAAAAUAAAAUGAAAAAAUUAGAAAAGCAUUUUAAUAGCGCUUCAUAUACAUCCACUAUUAGAAAAUAAUUUAAAAGUUGGGGGUAAAAUCUUUAACAACACACCUUUAAUAGCACUUAUAAUGUGCUAUAAAAUAAAUAUUUGAAUUAUCCUAACAAUACCUUUAUAGCACUUUUCAAAAGUUCAAUUAAAAGUACCUUUUACUUUAAUAGCGAUCCAUCAACAUCGCUUCAAGAAGCGUUGUAAAUAGCCAUAUUAAACGCUACAAAAUCCAUUUUUUAUCGUAGUGUAAACUCAUUAAAAUUUGCAGUGUCCCCAAGAAUAACAUAACCAAUCAAAAGUUAAUAUGCAGGCUUAUUGCUUUUGUUUGUUGAAUUGCUACUUGUUCUAUAACGAUGAUAGCAUGUGGGGAGACAUUAGGCGAGUCCCGAUGGUGAGUCAUAUGGACCCGCGUUAUUCAAAAAUUACCAUGGUUGUUGCUGAAACAAUAUUAUGUGCGGAUGCGUUGAAAAAGGACGCCAAGUGUGAAAGCUUCGAGGGAAACCCUUUAUUUAUUGUGCGUCAAACAAUUAUUGCGCUGCAGCGGCGUGCGCCAUAUCUUUAUUGCUCCUGAUUCUGGGCACAAUAAAUUUGUUACACGCCUCGUAUAUUAUUUCAAGACUGGCGAUUUUGAAUGGGUGAUGUAAUAUAUUCACAUUAGUACAUGCGCGCGAUUAUAUUCUUGCGCUUAGCUUUCAUGUGUGAAAAUAUUUCCGCGCCCUUUCUUGUCCGGUCCCUUUUGUUCGUACUUCGAAUGCGUUUUUUUUACUUUUACGAAUUCUUGCGAGUGGUAUGAUUAAGCGAAUAGGAAAUACUUGCACCAAGGGGAAAACGAGGCCGAGUGGACCUUUUACUUCACCCAUGGCCUGUGCUCCAUUAAGUGGGUGAUAUCGUGGUGGGGUCUGCAUUCAAUGGUAGGCGGGUGAAAGAUCGUUGUCUUCCCCAGAUUGCUCGAACUGGCACAUGCUACUUAUAUCUUUAUGUACCGAGUCAUGAGACAGUACGGUAUGAGGCAUAACAUACCUUUUCCGGAUACUACACCACAAAAUAUGGCGGUUCUCUCAUGGAAUCGCGUCCUUGUGCGGGAAAAUUACUAUAGUGACUUGCCCCGUUGGAACGUUGUCGUAGAUGGGAAUAAUUCUAUUCUGAGAGUUACAAGAUCUGGAUGAGUUCUGACGAUACUAUGGAGAGGACCAAGGCUUGUGAUGGUGAACCGGCUGUGUUACUUCACCCAAGGGGUAAGACCAAGUAUGAGCACAUUGGUACUUCUAGGUCCCGAGAGGCUAACUCUAGGCCUCCAAGGAGGCAAUCUGACCGUAAGCGUAAGGGUGACCAUCAAUGAUCUGAAUCUAAACCCCGAAGGGUGCCCGCUGAGCAUGCUUUAACUAGCCCAAAAAUGAUAUGGUAGAUUCUGCUAAAAUUCUCCGUUGCGAGAAGAAUAAGAAACAGGCGUGGGUGAAAAGGACUCAAGCCCCUGUUACCAUGGUGGUUAAAACUCAUUGCACCUAUUUCAAUCACUGCUCCCAUUCCAAAACUGAGUUGGUAAUGUGGUUCAGUAUUAAUUAUACAAGUUAAUAAUUCAGUGAGAUCAAGUUAACUGUAUGCCUAGCUAGAGGCCGCUUCAGUUCAAGUGGAAUUAAUAAUAUUAAUCCACAUCUUACUCUUAACUGAACCCGUAGGGUCACACAAAUAGUACGUGAACGGAUCAAGUAUUUAAAGGAAUUAAAUACUCCAUUUAUGGAUAUUCGGAAUCGACGGAUCUCGGUUCCAGUGGGAGCUGAAAUCGUCAAAAGGCAAAUUAUGAAUACUCCGGAAACGAUGAUAUUGCCGGAAACGGAAAUAUGGAUGGUAUCGGAAAUAUAAAUAUUAUCCAAGUCGUAGAUGUUGCCGGAAACGGAAACAUGUUACGUAUCGGAAAAUAUUAUCCGAAAUGGAAAUAUUGCCGGAAUCGGAAAUAUUGCCGGAAACGGAAAUAUUGUCAGAAUCAGAAAUAUUAUCGGAAUCGGAAAUAUUAAAUAUUUGUUCGAAACGGAAAUUAAUUCCGGAAUCGGAAAUAUUAAAUAUUGUUCGAAUCGAAAAUGAAUUUCCGAAUCGGAAAAUUAAUCGGAAGCGCGUCGUACGAAAUAAACAUCGGACGAGCUUGCUAGACGCAAGGCCCAACACAAAGCCUGGCCCACGCCUAGCAAGCCCAACGCGCAAGACAUCGUAGCAGCAUCCAAGGCACGCAAGGCCAAGCGCAAGGCCAGGCCCAGCGCGCCCAUGGGCUGUGAGCAAAUCGUGAGCUGCGAGUAAGUCGUGGGCUGCGAGCAGCGCGUGGGCUUCUAUGCGCGCGCGCAUGGCCUGCGCCCCUUAUGGGCCGUGCGCGUGUGUGUGUUGAAGUUCGUGCAUGCAUCAAAUCCUUAAGCAAUUAGGAUUAGAUUAAAAGAUUAAUUUCCUAAAGUUACUAGUUUUAAUUAAGGUCUAAUUCUAAUAGAAUUAGAUGACUUGAAAACCUAGUAGACUUCUAAUUCCAUUAUUCCUACCCUAUAAAUAUGUGAUGGCAUUCACAAUUUAUGAACACAUAAUUUUAAGUAUUCACAGAGUUUUAAGGAUUAAAACUAACGAUAAUAUUGCCUCAAAUAUUCGAAUAAAACAUAAUACCUUAGGUGCAAUUCUAGUUAAUUAAAUCUAAGGCUGAUCCGAACGUGUUGUGGACUAUCUACGGAGGGACGACGUUUGGAGUCCUAAACUUGUUCUUGUUCGGUUCGGGAGCAGCUAGGGAGGGCACACUACAAAGAGUAUGCAUCCUAAAUUAUGAUAAUUGUUAUGUGGCAAUUAAUUUGGAUUCCUGGCUUUAUGGUUUUUCCGCAUGAAAUAUAUAUGAUUUAUAUGUAUCAUAACCUAACAGUGGUAUCACGAGCCUCUAAUUAAUUCCAUAAUAAUUAGUUAACAUGGUUAAAUUUUAUAAAUCUGCAAUGAAUUAAAGGUGUGAUAAAUUUCGGUUUUUUGUAAGUAAUUGCAAAUUCGUGCGAUUAUUUAAUUAUAUGUUCGCAGAAUUUUCGGCCGUUUAGUCAAUAAUGGUUGGAAUCGUAUAAUUUUAUAGUGAAUUUCGCAUGUAAACGACAUUUUAAAAUUUUGACUAAAAUCAAGGAUUUGAUGCCGAACCCAGAAUUCCCAAAUUCGAAGCCUAACUAUGACUUUUCGGAGGUUUUAGUUUUUUCGAACGCAAAAUUUGUAAUUUUUAAGAUGUUAAAAUAAAUAUUUGCGAUUCUUGUUCGUAAAUCUUGAAUUUUUGAUUGACCUACUGUAUAUGUUUAACAAAUUUAAAUGCCUAAGCUUGUUAAUUAUACAACCUAAUUUGUAAUUGUAAUUAAUUUGUUGAAAUUCGAAUAAUUUAGAAUUUGAUUUGAUUUUCAUAUUUAAUUGACAAUUUAAUUAGGUAUACAUGAUUAAAAACACUACUAGAAAAUGCCUAUUUAACGACAACACGGUAACGACGGAGUCGAUUUAUAGUCGUUGAAUGUGUUAGCGCGUUACUUUAUUACGACCCAGGAAUACAGUCAUCGUAAUUUGUGAAAAAGGGAAGCUGAAAAAUAAAGUAAAAAAAAAAAUGGUUCGUCGUUAUUCCUAGCACUUCCGCAGCUUCCUGUAGUUCUCCUCAAGUUUAAAACCCUCAAAUAAAACCCUCAAACCCUAAUUGAAUUUCUCAAAUUCAUUGCUUCAUAUGAGCAACUUCUUUGAUUUGGAAUUCCCAGCAAAUCCUUGACAUACACAACACAAAUUCAUAUGUCCCUCUUUCUCUCUUUAUUUCACCAAAUAUCCUACAAAUUUAGGGGUUUAUUAGUCGUUUUUGUUCAAUCCAUUGAUGAAGUUGGGUUGGAUUUGGCUGUCAAAUUCUUGAAUCGUAAUUAUGAAACUCUGGUAAGUUUCCUAUUCUUUCUUUGAUUUAUGCAAUUUUUUUGAAAGCUUACUUAUGGUAAAUUGAACAGAUAGUUUGAAUUUAUUUAUUUUUUCUAUUGCAGCUGCAAAUUAUAUAAUUUAUUAACGCUCAAGUCAAAAUGGUUAUUUCUGCAAUCGAGCAUAUUGGUAUCCUACUUUUGGGAUAUACGAGUCUAGUACAACUAAUUCGCAGGGGCAGCAGAAAAAACCAUCGGUACCUAUGUCCUUUGCUCCACCUCCUCUUCUUCACCCCCCUCCAUCGUAUCAAGAGGUGAGCAAUCCGGUGAGAUUACAAUCAAUGCAUGUAAGACCGGAUUCAAGACCGAAGCCUGCGUAUUCGGUUGGAAGGAAGCCUGUUCUUAAGAAUCCUAAAGUCAAGGAUCUCCACAAAAGGGACAUGACCUUUGAAGAAAAGCAAAAGCUUAGAACUCAUCUUCAGAGUUUGCCUUCGAAGAAGCUUGAUGCUAUAGUGUAGAUCAUUCAGAAGAGGAAUUUAGCUUUAUCACAACAUGAUGAUGAGAAUAUUGAAGUGGAUAUGGACAGUGGUGAUGCCGAGACACUUUGGGAGCUAGAUAGAUUUGUAACAAAUUACAAAAAAAGCCUGAGCAAACAUAAGAGGAGAGUCGAACUUGCUCAAGCUAGAGCAGCAAUUAUCCAUACUCAAGUAACAAUUCAAGCUCCUGCAAAUGUUGAAGCGCCUAGAGAAACCACAACAGAUAAAGGAAAUGUUACCACUUCACCUCGUGUUCAACAAGAGAGUCAUAGCGAUAAUGAAAGUGGUUCAAGUGGGUCAAGCAGUUCUAGCAGUGAUUCUGGAUCUUCUAGUGAUUCAGAUAGUGAUAGCUCUUCUGGUUCGGAGUCAGAUGGAGGCCAUUACAUAGGAUCUAAUUGUGUUUGUUAAGCCAUUGUAUAAUACAAGAGUGUGCUUCUUGAGCUUACUAGUGUUCAGGCUCGAAGGAGAGGGAAGCGAGCUACAGAGUUGGAAAAAAGGUGCCUGGUUGAUCAAGAUAAGAAUGGACAGAAUACUCUGCUGAACUUUGUGGAGGAACCCAUAUAUCUAAUUUAAGAGAAGCCAAGGCAUUUGCUCUUUUAUCUUAGCAGGGGAUUGCCAAAGGAAUUCGUAGAGUGACUGUUGUUACGUCUGAGGUUGCGUUGAAUGCAAUUAAUUUGGCAUGCUCCCUCGAGCAACAAUUGAUUGAUGCAUCAAAGAUAGAUGCAAGCGUGCUGGAGAAAGUUAGUUUGGGAUAUUGUUCUUUUUUUUCUUCAACACUAGCAAUUUUAGCGAUUAUAGCUUGUAGAUGACUGACUUAUUAGUUUGGUUGUUUUCACUCACAUUGAAUUUGUUUAUUAUAAAUUUUUUCUGAUUGAUUACGUUUAAUUAAUAUAAAUUUAGUGCAU